CUCGCGCUUGCCAGGCAGGUGCUGUGCCGCUGAGGUUGUCCUCCAACUUGUGAUCCUGCCUUCAGCCUCCUGAGUGCUAUGAUUAGACAUGCACCAAGGGACAAGAUGGUGCCACCUGUGCAGUUCCCUUUGCUCACUGAGGUUACCUGAAGCCUCAGGGAGAGGCAGAGAAGCAGCAGGACGAGCCAAAAUGGAUCAAGAGAGAACUGGCAGAACCCAGGAUAGCACACUAAAGCAAGAGGUGCCAGCAGCCUGCAUUGCCUCGUCCCCAGCAGAUGAAUAAAGCUUCCAAGUUGUGUAA